UUUUAGGUUAAUGGAAAUCAAGUGUUGGGAAAUUGUAGGACAUCUUCUGGCAUCUGUGCAAAGAGAUCUAUCAGGAAACUAUUCAGUAUUUCAUAGAAAAUUGCUUUGAAUCUUCCAGGAAACUACUCAGUCUUUCAAAGAAAGGUUUUCCAUAAAGGGAAGACGGCAGGGAAAGGGAAUUUGUUUUUAGAACUACAUGUGAAAUGGCUACUGAUCAUUUACAGUUUCUGAAGAACAAAUUCAUCAAUGACUUUGAAGAAGCAGAGGGGGGAAGAAUUCGUAGAAUUCCCCCUACGGAUUCAUUUUGUUAAGAUUUCAGAGGUCUUGUGUCAAAAGAGGAUUGACCCCUGGAUGCCCAUAGGACUGAAAGAUCCUCUGUAUGACCUCAAGUUCGCAUUGGCUGAUUGUGUCAUGUUAGCAGAGAAGGAGAGAGACCGCAUUACCAAAAACAAGAAAAGUCUCUUAUUAAGGUCUCAUCAUUAUGUCAAGAAGCAAUGGUUUCUUUUCAAGAUGAAAUGGAAACUUCUCCGCAUAAAAAACGAGUUGCUGUAAAACAUGAGCGAUGUUGACGUUGCAAACAUUGUAGAUGAGAGGCUUUCGUCCUCGAGCUUGAUCAGGGUUUGUCGACCAACAGACUUUCCAAAUUUCAAUCUCACUCUGAUUCAUGGUUUCAAUAAUCAUUUGCGGAAGAUGAAAGCUUUGCUCCUAGCUAUUACAUUUGAUACUGAUAAUUUCAGUGCAAUUGGUAUCGUAGGGAUGAGAGGAUUAGGUAAAACUACUGUUGCUCAAAUGGUGUUCCGUAGCUCUAGAGUCCAAGAAAGUUUCUCCCCAAUGUUAUGGGUUGAGUUACCUCAAUAUCCAGAUCUAAGAUCCAUUGUCUUGGCUAUUCUCGAAUGCUUGGCAAGCGAUUUCUCUUCAUUUGGCAACACUUCUAAUCUUGAUGAUCUUUUGCGGAAUUUGGACAUUUACUUGUUUAAUAAGAAGUAUUUGAUCGUGUUGGACAACAUGUGGCCUGCUUCGAGUGAUGAUUUGGAUUUCAACAAGUACGUAACUCCACUCUGGAAUGGAUUUCUGAGGGGAAGUGGGGGUGCCAUCAUCAUCACUAGUAGACUGAAAGAAGUGGGAAGUGGAUGGUGGGUGACCUCAACUUGUAUGAACUUGAGCCCAUAUUGGACAGAGAGUCGUGUUGGUGCAUAAUUCUAGAUUCAAUUAGAAAGAAGUAUUUGUAUCACCAGAUAUUAUGAAAAAUGAAGGAUGACAUGGUAGAUAGGUGUGGUGGUCUUCUAUUAAUUGUAAAGACCUUAGCUGAGAUAAUUUCAACCGAGUUUUUGAAAGAUCCGACUGCAAUUAAGCGGAGGUUGUUUUCAAUUUGUUCUUGUAGAUGUUUCGCUUGGUAUUCGAUAAACCUGUUGCACCCACCUCAGAGCUCCUGAAGAAACUUAGGACCUAUUCAGGAGUUUAUUAUGUUGAAAUUGUCUCUGAUCACAACAAUGAAGUAGAAGCAGGAGGAAGUUGUGAUCCUGAAAAAGUAGUGGAAGACUUGAAGAAACUUUUCCAAGCAGAGAUCACUUUAAAGAUAGAUAAGAAUAAUACAAUCAAGAAUCAAAGAAGAAAGAAGAGCCUACAGAAAAAGAAUCUGGUGAAGAGCAACCCAUGGAUUUAAGAAGAAGAAGACAGAACUAAAUCAUCUCCCUAGAUUUUUUGAAGUGAAUCCGAGUGCACGAGUAUUAGUUCCUCUCUGUUAUCUGUUUUUCAAGUUUGAAAUGUGAAAAAAAUGAUGGUUUGUUCUUCUUGAUCCACCAUCUCAAGUGUCAAUUGCAAAGCCAUGUAUGCUAAGCAGGAGUGUAAACGGUUUUCUUUGAUUGGCAUUCAGAGAAAAUUUUGCGCCGAAUUGAUUCCUUCAUUUUGUUAGUUGAGGAAUCAAAACCGAUCGCAUACUGUUUGUUAGUUUUAUCAAUUUAGUGUAAAUGAUGGAUUUAAUAGGUGAAUUUAAAAGUGUUAUAAUAUUCUAUAGAAUGUCAGUGAUAGUGUAUAAUUUUAAUUGGGAUUGAUACAUUUUCUGAUUAUGGGACUC